AUCAUUCUCAAGCUGCCACGUGUCAGCACCCCAACAAUCAUCACUCUUCUAUCUUUAUGUCCCCUACCCGUGACCCUCUCUCCUCUUUCUUUCUUCUCUAUCUUUCUCUGCUAUCUCUCUCUUUUCUCUUUCUCUUUCGAAACCCUCCCAUCUCUCUCUUGUUCUCGCCGUGAACACACACACACACACAUACGCACACCAUCGCGUAAGGAAGAUCAUCAUCAUCAUCAGCAACCUCGUCCUUCUCUCUCUCUUCUGUCGCAGGAAGGAUGCUGAGAGCCCAGGAAGCUCCGGCGAGUUUCUUCUUUUCUUCGGUUAGGUUUUGGAGCUCGGGUUUAGGCACCCAUUCUUUGGCGAGGCCGUGGGUGUCGAGAGGUUUUCCAAUCACCACAGGUUGUUUCACGGCAAGUGGAAGGAGUUGAGAACGAGGAUUGGGACUUGAGCUACGAGGCAUUCCCCUAUCAUUAAUAUCGUGCUAUCUUCCUCCUGUAUCGACACCUUUUGUAAUAGCACUAUCUUAUCUUAAAUUCCGCAUGUACUCUGUAUUAGACGUAUGCUCUGGACAUAUUGUGCACUAUCUUAAUGUUUAAUUAUUAGCAGCUGA